CUUCUUUGCAUUGUCAGCACAUGCUUCAGUGAUCUGAGAGUGUUUAUAGUGCUGUGAGUUUAACACUUCAUGACUGACAGCAGAACAGAACACAAUCUUCAUCAUCACACAACACAAAACAACAACAAUGACCUUCAGCAUCAUCUUCAUCUGGACACUUUUAUUCUGUAUACAAGGAUCAAGUGGACAGAUCACAGUGACUCAGACUCCUUCAGUGAAACUUGCUGCUCCAGGAGAGACUGUUGUGUUGAAAUGUACUGCCAGCACUCCUUUAACAGGCUGCAGCCCACCCUGUCUGUCCUGGUACUUACAGAAACCUGGAGAAGCUCCUAAACUCCUGAUUUAUAGAGUGAGCAACCUUCAGUCUGGAACUCCAUCUAGAUUCAGUGGCAGUGGAUCUGGAAGUGAUUUCACUCUGACCAUCAGUGGAGUCCAGACUGAAGAUACAGGAGAUUAUUACUGUCUGAGUUAUCACUACAUCAGUAGUAGCUGGGUGUUCACACAGUGAUAAAGAGUCGUACAAAAACCUCCGUCAGUCAGACUGCACAGUGACUGCACUGAUACAACUGACAGAUACUGCAGCUGCUCAUACAACACAAUCACUCAGUAUAGCCU